rnacentral:rRNA from 1 species
GACGAACGCUGGCGGCGUGCCUAAUACAUGCAAGUAGAACGCUGAAGAGAGGAGCUUGCUCUUCUUGGAUGAGUUGCGAACGGGUGAGUAACGCGUAGGUAACCUGCCUUGUAGCGGGGGAUAACUAUUGGAAACGAUAGCUAAUACCGCAUAACAAUGGAUGACACAUGUCAUUUAUUUGAAAGGGGCAAUUGCUCCACUACAAGAUGGACCUGCGUUGUAUUAGCUAGUAGGUGAGGUAAUGGCUCACCUAGGCGACGAUACGUAGCCGACCUGUGAGGGUGAUCGGCGACACUGGGACUGAGACACGGCCCAGACUCCUACGGGGGGCGGCAGUAGGGAAUCUUCGGCAAUGGGGGCAACCCUGACCGAGCAACGCCGCGUGAGUGAAGAAGGUUUUCGGAUCGUAAAGCUCUGUUGUAAGUCAAGAACGGGUGUGAGAGUGGAAAGUUCACACUGUGACGGUAGCUUACCAGAAAGGGACGGCUAACUACGUG